AAACUACUUGCACUAGAGAAAUGUUUCCACAUUCAAGGGAGAUAAGGUCCCUCACCAACAAACUACUUGCACUAGAGAAAUGUUUCCACAUUCAAAGGAGAUAAGGUCCCUCAC